GCGAACGGGUGAGUAAUAUAUCGGAACGUACCCAAGAGUGGGGGAUAACGUAGCGAAAGUUACGCUAAUACCGCAUACGAUCUAAGGAUGAAAGCAGGGGACCGCAAGGCCUUGUGCUCCUGGAGCGGCCGAUAUCUGAUUAGCUAGUUGGUAGGGUAAAGGCCUACCAAGGCAUCGAUCAGUAGCUGGUCUGAGAGGACGACCAGCCACACUGGAACUGAGACACGGUCCAGACUCCUACGGGAGGCAGCAGUGGGGAAUUUUGGACAAUGGGCGCAAGCCUGAUCCAGCAAUGCCGCGUGAGUGAAGAAGGCCUUCGGGUUGUAAAGCUCUUUUGUCAGGGAAGAAACGGGUGUGGCUAAUAUCUGCAUCUAAUGACGGUACCUGAAGAAUAAGCACCGGCUAACUACGUGCCAGCAGCCGCGGUAAUACGUAGGGUGCAAGCGUUAAUCGGAAUUACUGGGCGUAAAGCGUGCGCAGGCGGUUUUGUAAGUCUGUUGUGAAAUCCCCGGGCUUAACCUGGGAAUGGCAAUGGAGACUGCAAGGCUAGAGUUUGGCAGAGGGGGGUAGAAUUCCCACGUGUAGCAGUGAAAAUGCGUAGAGAUGUGGAGGAACACCGAUGGCGAAGGCAGCCCCCUGGGUCAAGACUG
rnacentral:rRNA from 1 species